GGCUUGGUAGCUCAGUCGGUAGAGCAACGGAUUGAAGCUCCGUGUGUCGGCGGUUCGAUUCCGUCUCAAGCCA
rnacentral:tRNA from 2 species